ensembl:lncRNA
CAGAGAACAGAGCAGAAAGGUCCGACAGUCUUUAAACGCGUCUUCAUGUUUCUGUGAAGCAGCGCGGCUUCAGCCUGCUAACAGGCAGCUAACAGGCAGCUAACAGGCUGCUAACAGACAGCUAACAGGCAGCUAACAGGCAGCUAACAGGCAGCUAACAGGCUGCUAACAGGCAGCUAACAGGCUGCUAACAGGCUGCUAACAGGCAGCUAACAGACAGCUGAGCUAAACUAACGAUGCCACGUUCAAACUCGCCGCAGCGUAAAAUAGUCGUCGCGGUCCGUAGUCGGUGCACAAGAAGCACCGCUGCACCGAUACGAGCGUCCUGGGUUCGUGGAUGACGUCAUCAUGACGCGUUAAUAUCCGCGUACUUUGUCUGUCUGUUGUCUGUCAGCUGCGGGCGAAUUUAGGGGGAAAAAGUAUCGUGACUUCUUCAACCACCAACAUGUUCGUCUCGUCAAGUCUCGAGGAGUUCGUCAGUUUUAGAAGAAUACAUUAUUCCUCCGUUCAUAAGAUGGAUCGGAUUAAUCCGUGAGGAGGAGGAGGAUGCUACAACCCGAUUAGAAUCUUCUCUCCUGAUCUUGAAGACAAAGUAUAUUAGACAUGUUGACUGUAACUCAAGUCACUUGUAUUACUGUAUUCCAGCUCUUUUAAAGGGAAAAUCAUCAUCGUUAGAUACACAUUUCUCAAGAUAUCUGCCAGAGUAGGGUACCAUAGAAUAUUAUUGUAUUUUAUACAGGUAUUGUUUAGCAUAUAACCCCUCCCUUUAAAUAUCCUGCACACACAUUAAUACGGAGAAAUGUAGGUUUGUUUUUCAGAUUUAGACUGCCAUUGUGUUUUUCUAUAUCAUCCUUCACACGCAUCAAAUUUACUUUGAAUCUAAAAAAUGGUUGUGAAAAGUGAAAAAUGUACAAUAUUGAUAUUUUGUGUUCCAUUCAUUGCUCUGUCGGUUGUCUGGAGUUCCCUCUAUUACUGGAGAGCAGUAUGCUUUUGCUAUGAGAUUCACACUAGUUGGACAGAAAGCCAAAUGUGUCUUUGACUUGCAGUUCUCUGCAGUGACCACCAGGAGGCAACUACUCUCCUUUUUUAUUUUAAAUUGUACAAGGAAAGGAGAAGGCUGGAAUGUUCACUGCCCACCCAGAGAUGGCAGUGUGGAUCCACUGAUCCAGCUUACUGUGAUUAAAUAGAUGAAGAGUUGAGAGUUGUAUCAGCAUCUGCAUUUAAUCAAUACACGACUAACAAACCAAAUCAAUUCAGUAUGAUUCAAAACGUAAUGUUUAUGUAACAAAAUAACUGAACAUAUAUGUGUGACUUCAAAUAUAAGUCAUUUUCUCUCAAUUAUCUAAAUAAAAGUAGGGCUGUAUUUAAAGAAAGUGAAAAAAUUAAGAAAAGAAAAGCUUGAAUUUCCCCUUUUCUGCUUCACAUUUGGACUAGAAUAUAUAUCCACUCCCACACUUUUUUAGUAGUGGAAGAAUUAAGCUCUAGUUUUUCCUUCCAGGAUGUGAAACCUGGUCUUAAUGCAUCAGGGCUGUUCUCGUCCUCACGUGGAGGAGCUCAUUGCGCCUCAUGACGGCGUUUCAACGGGUUUAGUUUUUUAGUGGGAAGUAUGAACAGAAACCAUUGUGGAUAAAAUGCUCUACUUUCGCUGUCCAUUUUUCUCUUUUUGGAGAGCACCAUUUGUUCCUCAUUUUUCUCUCCCAUCUCUUUCUGCGUCUCACUCGUCUUUUUCUCAAAUGUCGCUAUCUUUCUUUUUUCUUUUUAUUUGUUAUUUU